rnacentral:rRNA from 1 species
UACGUAGGGGGCGAGCGUUGUCCGGAAUCAUUGGGCGUAAAGCGCGUGUAGGCGGCUUUGCAAGUCGGGUGUGAAAGCCCUCAGCUCAACUGAGGAAGUGCGCCCGAAACUGCAGAGCUUGAGUGCCGGAGAGGGUGGCGGAAUUCCCCAAGUAGAGGUGAAAUUCGUAGAUAUGGGGAGGAACACCGGUGGCGAAGGCGGCCACCUGGACGGUAACUGACGCUGAGACGCGAAAGCGUGGGUAGCAAACAGG